rnacentral:rRNA from 1 species
GACGAACGCUGGCGGCGUGCCUAAUACAUGCAAGUCGAACGCAGUGGGGACGGGUGCGUAACACGUGGGUAACCUCCCAUCAGAGGGGAUAACACUUGGAAACAGGUGCUAAACCGAUACUGAUGGAUGGACCCGCUGUGCAUUAUCUAGUUGGUGAGGGAACGGCUCACCAAGGCCACGAUGCAUCGAGCAUCGGAGAGUGUGAUCGGCCACAAUGGGACGGAGACACGGCCCAGACUCCAACGGGAGGCAGCAGUAGGGAAGCUUCGGCAAUGGACGAAAGUCUGACCGAGCAACGCCGCUGGAGUGAAGAAGGUUUUCGGAUCGUAAGACUCUUUUGUUAGAGAAGCGGUAUCUAACCAGAAAGCCACGGCUAACUACGUGCCAGCAGCCGCGGUAAUAC